GAAACAGAUGAUAAAGAUUAAUGAUGCCAUGGCUCUAUUGUUAACAUAAGUUAACAAAGGUCUAACUUGGGAUGCCUGUACACAAGGGGAUACGGAUAAAUGUGCUCUAUUGAUUAAGCCCCUGUUUAACUUUGAAUUUGCUUAUAUUGGUUAAAAGUUGACAAAUAAUUAUUUCUUCUUGAUGCAUGUACUUCCUCGUCCAGAGUCUCUUUCUUCAAGGUAAUAUCACACCUCUAUGGCCUAGAUACCAUAUUAUAUUAGUCUAGUUUGAAGCCUCUUAGUACUAUUAUCACCUAGUUAAGUUGCAUGACUCCACUCACAAAUCAUCUGAAUUUUGGAAGCUUGAAGAGCUUUAUCUAAAGGUAUUCUAUUCAUGCAUGAAGGCUUUUUAAUAGCAAAAUAAUAAUGCUAUCUCUCUUAAAGUGUAGUUGGAUGAUUCAAUUCUGAAAAAAAUUGCAGUUAUGCAAUGAUUUUUCAGUUCCAAAGGAGAGGCCGGAGAACUUCAAAGGGGUUGAUGUUAAAUAUGAAGAGAUAAUUGAAGUAACUUCAAUUGGCUCCAGCAAAGUCUUAUG